CCUACGGGUGGCUGCAGUGGGGAAUAUUGCACAAUGGGCGCAAGCCUGAUGCAGCCAUGCCGCGUGUGUGAAGAAGGCCUUCGGGUUGUAAAGCACUUUCAGCGGGGAGGAAGGCGUUAAGGUUAAUAACCUUGUCGAUUGACGUUACCCGCAGAAGAAGCACCGGCUAACUCCGUGCCAGCAGCCGCGGUAAUACGGAGGGUGCAAGCGUUAAUCGGAAUUACUGGGCGUAAAGCGCACGCAGGCGGUCUGUCAAGUCGGAUGUGAAAUCCCCGGGCUCAACCUGGGAACUGCAUUCGAAACUGGCAGGCUAGAGUCUUGUAGAGGGGGGUAGAAUUCCAGGUGUACCGGUGAAAUGCGUAGAGAUCUGGAGGAAUACCGGUGGCGAAGGCGGCCCCCUGGACAAAGACUGACGCUCAGGUGCGAAAGCGUGGGGAGCAAACAGGAUUAGAUACCCGUGUAGUC
rnacentral:rRNA from 1 species